UCAUCUCCGGGGGUAGAGCACUGUUUCGGCUAGGGGGCCAUCCCGGCUUACCAACCCGAUGCAAACUACGAAUACCGGAGAAUGUUAUCACGGGAGACACACGGCGGGUGCUAACGUCCGUCGUGAAGAGGGAAACAACCCAGACCGCCAGCUAAGGUCCCAAAGUCAUGGUUAAGUGGGAAACGAUGUGGGAAGGCACAGACAGCCAGGAUGUUGGCUUAGAAGCAGCCAUCAUUUAAAGAAAGCGUAAUAGCUCACUGGUCGAGUCGGCCUGCGCGGAAGAUGUAACGGGGCUAAACCAUGCACCGAAGCUGCGGCAGCGACACU
rnacentral:rRNA from 1 species